rnacentral:lncRNA from 1 species
GGGUUCCAGUGCUUGGAGAGCACAGGGUUCUUUGGCAUCUCCACGAACCUGGUCGUAUACCUGGAGAAAGUCCUCCACGGCAGCAAUCUGGCCAGCGCCUCCAAAGUCACUACAUGGACCGGCACCAGCUACCUGACCCCGAUCUUCGGCGCCAUCAUCGCCGACACCUUCUUGGGCAACUACAACACCAUCCUCAUCUCCCUCGUCGUCUACCUUCUUGUAAGUCGUAGAUCGUUCAUGUUGAUCCAUGGCAUGCGCAUUGAUCGGUCACGGCAAUGAUGCUAACAGAUUCUAUGCCUGUCGCGUGCCACCUGCAGGGGAUGAUGUCCGUGACCUUCUCCGCGUUCCUGCCCACGGCCGCGGUGCUCGGCGGCUCCUCGGUGUUCGGCGCUCAAACCGUCGCGUUCAUCGGGCUGUAUCUCGUCGCGAUCGGGAGCGGCGGGGUGCGCUCGUCGCUGCUGCCGUUCGGCGCGGAGCAAUUCGACGACGACAAUGAGAAAGACCGGGAAAGCAAGGGCUCCUUCUUCAGCUGGUUCUACCUCUGCGUCAGCUUCGGCCCGAUCGUCUCCGGUCUGUUCAUUGUGUGGAUACAGGACAACGUCAGCUGGGGCCUCGGCUUCGGCAUCUCCACCGCCUGCAUCGCUCUCGCUUUCGGCGUCUUCGUUCUCGCCACACCCAUGUACAAGCGCCGCAUGCCCACCGGCACGCCGCUCAAGCGCCUGAGCCAGGUCAUCGUCGCCGCCUGCCGGAAGAUUAGCCGCAAGGUGCCUGCCGACGCGAGCUUGCUCUACGAGGUCAGCGACAAGGUGGACCCCCAGCCCAAGCUCGCACACACCGGUGAUUUCUCAUUACUUGACAAGGCGGCCGUCAUCACCGAGUCGGACUUUGAGGAGGUAACGGAGGAGGCCGGCUCGUCGUGGAAGUUAUGCACCGUGACGCAGGUGGAGGAACUGAAGAUCCUGCUGCGGCUUCUGCCCAUCUGGGCGACCAGCAUCAUCGUGUCCGCGGCGUACGCGCAGAUGAACACUACCUUCAUCCAGCAGGGCAGCGCCAUGAACAUGUCCAUCCUGUCGGUGUCAGUGCCGCCUGCGUCGAUGGCAUCGUUCGAGGUAGCUUGCGUCUUUUCUUGGGUGAUGCUCUACAGCAAGGUGAUCGUGCCAGCGCUGAGGGGCUUCAGUUCCGGCGGCGACGGCGAGCCAUCGCUGCUGCAGCGAAUGGGCGCCGGCCGGCUCCUCAUGGCUCUUGCAAUGGCGGUCUCUGGACUCGUGGAGAUGAAGCGGCUCGACAGCGCGGCGCGCGGCGAGGAGAUCUCCAUAGCGUGGCAGCUCCCGCAGUACUUCUUCCUGGCCGGCGCCGAGGUGUUCUGCUACAUCGCGCAGCUGGAGUUCUUCUACGCCGAGGCGCCGGACACCAUGAAGAGCACGUGCACGUCGCUGGCGCUGCUCACCAUCGCGCUGGGCAGCUACCUCUGCUCGUUCAUCUACGCCAUCGUGGCCGCCUUCACGGCCACGGCGGACAGCCCCGGGUGGAUCUGCGACAACCUCAAUCAGGGCCACCUCGACUACUUCUUCUGGACCAUGGCCGCAAUGUGCACGCUCAACUUCGUCGUGUACAGCGGCUUCGCCAAGAACUACAAGUUCAAGACUGUGCUCUCAUGACGUGCUUCCAUUGCACAGUGCCCAUAAUGACCAAUUGGUGAUUGGUGAAGGGUGACUAGCAAGUAGCAAUGCAAGCACUAGCUCAACGGCUAGUACAUAGGAAACGUACAGCGGUAGAGUAGAAAAAAAAAUGCAGGAAUUUAUUUUGCCCUUUUCCUUUUCUUUUUAAGUUUUGAAGAAACUGCACAGAUUUCUGUCGGCAGCGACAGUUUUUCUUUUGAAACUUUGUUUUGUUUUUUCACAUACAGACAUACAGUUGAUGAGUUGAAAGACUAGUGACAUUGGUGUUAACGUGCCUUUUCUCCUGACUCAGCGAAGGAAAUUUGCAUUUUAAAUUGGAUGUCGCCAUUGCAGUGAAUUUGUUAAACACAAUUUAUAUACACCAUGUCGCCUCGACUGUGUUUUGACUUUGCUAUUCAAUGUUUGACCCUUUGUUAUUUCUCCGAGUAUUUGUGCAAACAGUUAGAAAUAUACGAUGUGCUUAACUUUUUUUUUGAAACUGUAAAUCGGCAGGAGUGCUGCCAUAUCAUAUAAGAGAGAUAGAGAGAGUUCAAGGUUACAUUGUGGUGAUUACAUAAAAAACGGUUAUGCUCACAAAUCUCGAAAUGAAACGACUCUAUCAUUGAUACUAUGGAAUUAAAGGUGCUCCACAUGCUCUUUGUCUCAAGCCGAUUUCUUCCUUGAUUAGGCCGAGAACUGAUUGGUCCGUUUAUACCACAUAUUCCAGCAUGUGUCAUAACAGUCGCAAUUGCUCUUUUUCUUUCCUUUGUCACUUCCUGCAAAGACCGGUGCCACCAUUCUUGGAGAUCAACGUCUGUCCGCGGUAGUGGCACCAGGUGGUUUGUCCAAGAAUGAAUGAGCUGCCAAACUUGAGCUGCAUAUGGGCACUGGAUGCAAAGAUGCAUAGCCGUCUCAGGUGCUCCCAGACAGAGGGACAUAUGGGGUUACACGACCAAUUUCUCUCUAUCAGUCGAUCAGCAGUGAGGAUUCUAUUCUGCAAUAGGAGCCGAGUGAAGAACCUAUGCUUUCCCUCAGCCUAUGCUUUCCAUAUUGCUUUAGCUUGGAAGGUGCAGAGAGUUCCUUUGAACUGAAUAGCAUAUGCUGAUUUGGUAGUGUAAUUGCCACAUUGUGUCCAUCUCUAUACAAUUUCAUCUUGAUUGUCACUGAAAGUAGUGUCCUGGACAAGUUCCAAGGGGUUAAUAAAUUCAGCCAAUUCAGUAGCAGAACUCAUCCUCCAUAGACCCCUCGUCCAAUUGUGGUCAGUUAAUUCCUCAUAAACAUUCGUGUGCUUUCUCCAAACUAAUUUGUAUAAGUUUGGCGCAGGAUCUCUUGGAGCCUGGCCAUUCAGCCAUGAAGAACCCCUAAAUUCGGCCUUUUGGCCAUUGCUAAUCUGCACAACUAUACUAGCUCGAAAUAGCUGCAGAUCUAGCUCAUUUACAGGGGCUUCAGUGCCCAUCCAAGGAUGAUCUGGCUCUUUCCACUAAAACCAUACCCAUCUCAGCCUCAGAGCUCUACUGAACCUUUCCAGGUCACGUGUGCCCACGGCUUCAUAUUCCUUUGGUCUCUGAACAUCUGUCAUUCAUUUGACGAGGCAGUGUCCUCCAUUAGUUUCAGCUUCUCCCUUCGAAAGGAAAUUCCUUCUAAUCUUGUCUAUUUUCUUUAUUGCCUACUUUUUCAGCGAGAAGACAGAUAAGAAGUAAACAGGGAAAGCUGAUAGAACUGAAUUUACAAGCACCAAUCUUCCUACCCUGUUCAUCAACCAGCCUUUCCAUCUUGGCAGCCUUGUCGCAACCUUGUCAAUGAGGGGCUGUACAUCAAUCUUUCUGAGGGCUCUGGUGUGAAGUGGCAAUCCAAGAUAAGUGCAAGGGAAGCUUUUGACUGGACAUUGGAAACUUUGCAUGAUCUCCUCUAUAUUUAGUGUAUCAUAGUGAAUUUUAUAAACAACAAUUUUGCUUCUAUUAGUUAGUAAACUUGAUGCUGUGCCAAAAGCUUCUAAGAUAUCAGCCACCACACUUACUUCCUCACUGUCAGACUUCAGAAAUAUGGCCACAUCAUUAGCAAACAUGCUGAUUCUAGCUAUAACAUUCCUAUUCUGAAUCUCAGAUAGCAUCCCUUGGGAUGCAGCAAUGGUGAGCAUUUUUUGUAGUGGCUCCAUGGCCAAGAUGAACAACAUAGCGCUUAAGGGAUAUCCUUGACGCAGGCCUGUCCUAUGUUUGAACCACGGUCCUCCUGUGCCAUUCAGUAGAACUGAUGUCGUAGCAGUAGAUAAAAGGGUUGAGACCCAGCUUCGCCAUCUUGCUCCAAAGCCCAUAUGUUGCAGCACUUCCAUAAGGUAAUCCCACCUUACACUAUCAAAAGCUUUUUUGAUGUCCAGCUUUAGAAAUAGAGCAGGUUUCUUAGCACGGUGUAGAGCCUGAACCAUGUUCUGGGUGAAGAGGAAGUUGUCUUGUAUGCGUCUUCUCUAUGCUUAACUUAUUUUGGCUUAGUGAUAUUUUUUCACUUAACUAAAAUAUUUGAACAAAUAUCUUUACUCAAAGUUUUGGACUAAAAGUCAAAAGUUACCGUUGUGAGGAAAUUAAGAUUUAGUACAUGAAUAGUUUCAUCUAAUCGGAUAUGUUUAAAUUGCAAAAAGAUUAACCAUUGAUGUUUGAAUUUGAACGAUGCCAAGACAUGUCUAUAUAUUUAACUUUCGCGAAUGAUCGUUUGUGGCGGAACCGCCCAAAUUAACCCGGCUAAAAUGCACUUAAGUCGCCUGACACGCGAUCAUGCACUUUAAGCAAGUCAACUUGGUCGUCCAUCGAUUUCAUCCGAUAAACUACUUACACAGAAUCGAGAAGAAUUGCUCCUACGAAGGUGAGUGGCACAGAGAUUACAACAUUCCCAUCACAUUAACAUAGUUCAACAAAUUAUUACAUCAGAGUUUUAAAAUUCAAACAAGUUUGCAAGGUUCCAAUAAAGACGAAGUAAAACAAGCGGAAGCUAAACGUCGAUACACGAUAUCAUGGCGAAGCCGAUCAUGACAUCAAUGAUCCCUGCCCUCGCCGUCCGAGGAGGGAUCCCACUCGACUGUCCAGCCCGGAGGGAGCUGGGUAGGCCAAGUGGUACCAGCAACCAUGCUAUCGACAUCACCUGAAAAGUUAAGCCACAACAAGACUGGGCAACUAAUACUCAGCAAGACUGACCCGACAGGUAAAAGCUAUUGUCACCAACUCCUAACAUGCAAGGCCUUUUAGCUCUGGGUUUGUUUUGCCAAAAGCGUCUAUGGUCGGUCCUUAUUUUCAAUAUUUUAGCUCAAGUUCUACGUUCAUUAACCAGUCUAGAUUAGCAACUUAUACAAAGUAAGCAUAGUUUUCCCAAACACUUAAAGAACAAGCAUCAAGAUUAAUAUAUCCUCAUGUUCCAUCUUUACUCAGUGCAGAAUAGCGAUCAAGCAGCCCCAAACUGUGAGAGGCAGACAAAUUGACUCGAAUUUAUUAACCAUGCAUGGCGAACCUAAUCUCACGACAUCCGCGCACCAUGAAGGGUCGCUUCAUUUGUCAGUCGUCCCCAUCGAUCCCCAGGCACGUGUCAGGGCCAAACUUCCCUUGGCAUGCAAUGCUCCAUAGUCCCGGCCUCUGUCGUAUUGUGACCGCACUUGCACCCACAUGAUGCACCAUGGGAACCUCAUUCCAGGGACAGCAGGAGUAUAAGCCACGCCCUAGUUCAAUCAGGUACUAGGCUUUCCCAUCCCAUACUAGGUAUGAGAUUAGUACCUUCAAACACUUGAUCACGAACGCUGACACGUUUCGACCUUAGUCCAUUUUCUUUUAGAUAGAUGGGGCAAACCACCAAGUACCAAACAUAAGCCCGGCCCUGUCCAUCGUCCUUAUAGUUGCAACAUAAAUAAAGCACUCAACUCCUAUAACUCACGAGUGAUAGAAAAUCACUCGACUUUUACCGAGACCUAUUAAGCAUUGCAACUAUUCGACCUUAGCAUGCUAGUGUUCAGAUCAAAGGAUACUAAGUUCAUGCAUCUAAGGUUUCAGACAAUGUCUAAUAACUUAAAUGCACAAUCAUAAUCAACAUAAUUCAUUGCAGAAGUUUACAAAACCAGGAUAUGUUCCAGGGCUUGCCUUUAGGAAAAGUUAGCGGUUCCUCGGGGUCUUGAUCUAGCUCGAACUCAACUUCUAAGUGAUGAAGCUCCGCAGCAGGUUCGUCUUCCGGCGUAGGGUGGAGCUCGUAGGUUCCGUCGGCGAGAUUAGCUUCUACACGACAUGCACAUGCAGGAAUUUAGUUUCAUCCAUGCGCGAACACAAACGAUGCACGACAUGGAUUAUGGUAGAAAGGAAGUUGCAUAUAGGCCACAUUCACCUAGACAAGGUUUUUACUUUCUUUAACUUCAUAAAGUAAGGUGGUUGGUUUAAACUUGAGGUUGACUUUGAUGGUGACUGUGUACACAUUUAGGUUUUUGCAACUUAGAGUUGCACAAAGAGAGUGGAAGGUCGUGUUUGGGGUGGUUCAAGUGCAUUUGGAGAGUUAUUCCCGCCUGAAUGUUUUUUUGUAUCUCUUCCAAAAUUACUUAUUUAGCUUAUUAGGAUUUAUGUAUCUUUUUGUUCCUUUAAGUCGAUUAUUUAGCCAAAGAAUGGUUCCACAACAAACAGCAACCCAAGGUACUGAGAACAUUACAGCACCUCACUAAAGUCAUUAAUAAUUUACUGUAAAAUUUGAGGAGCUAUUGGAUUACCACAAAAAGAAUUAGACGCAUAUAAUCAUUAAAGGUAGCAUGCACUUAACUAUUUCUAUCUCCAAACCUACAGUGAAUCUGAGAGUGAAAAUUUACCAAUAUGUUGAAGGUGUGUUACAAAAGUUUUGGUAAAUUUUUCAUGAUUUUUGGAGAAAGACAACUAUUUCCCCUAUUUAUCUCCUAUUUAAACAUGCUUUACAAGGAAGGUGGGUUUCUUUCUAAUUCUGACCACAACUCAUAUUUUUCCUGUAAUCUACCUCUCAAAACUGAGCUACUCCAAGUGGUUUCAUAUUUUUCUCAGUUCUGGAUUAAAACUUAUGCAAAAAGUAAGAUUUAACCCUAGAUUUCAGAUAUAAGGUUAAAACAGGAACUUUAAGUUCUACUCCAGGGCCCUAAAUAUUUUUCUGAGCUUCUACUCAUUGCAACAUUCACCAUAGAGUUGAAUUUACCUAUUUAACAUUUUUCUUCUAUUUACUAUGAUUUAAAAGGCCUAAACAAGGAAUAAAACCAUAGGAUAUUAUUUACAAUAGUAACAUGAGCAAACUUAAUUUUGUAAGAAACUAGACAGAACAAGGAUCCCAACAAAAGUGAUUUGGUAUUUUUCUGAUUUUUCUACGAUUUACUGGGCAUUUACAAAAUUUAACCCUUUUUCUGCCGAUUUUUAAACUAAAACCGUGGCAAACUUGCACUCUACCCCCUACGUCUAUGGUUUAUUCACGUAGGGGUCCCUGAGUUUUGCACCUAGGCCCCUAGAAAGAUCGGGGAAGACCCAAUGUCGUCCCCGGGGGUGCGCACGGCGGCGGCGGCGAAAUCCUCAGCGAUUCGCCGGCGGAGAUCGGGCAACAAGUUGCCGGAGAGGCUCAGGGGCUCACCUGAGCUCGACUUGGCGGAGUUGUGGUGACGGAGAUGGCCGACGAGGGUUGGAACAUGGCGGCGGCAACGGGGCUUGGCGAGUGUCGGUGCGGGCGGCGUUCCGGCACACCGGCGGCAUCGGGAGGGCAACGAGCGGCUCGGGGACGUGCGCGGAGGGGUGGUGAAGCAGGCGGAGAAGUCGUCGGAGUGCGGGGCGGUGCGGAGGUGGGAGCUCCACGGGAGCCUGGCGGCGGCGCAGAGCAAAAGCAGGGGCGCGGCGUACGGGAGGUGGCAAAAGGGUGGCGCUAACGGCGAGCUCGGCCCUUUUGUAGGGUAGAGGUGGAGCACAGGGUCAAGGCGGGGCUCCAAGCAUGGGAGGAUAAGGCCGGGGAGAGUGGGUGCAUGGGCGAGGUGGCCAUUGGCCGGAGGCUCCAUUGGCCUUGGGAAGUAGAGCUCCGGGGACAGGAUCCUCAGGGCAUUGGGCAAGGAAGAUAGUGUCAGGCAAGCGUGGAUUUGCCGGGCGGGAGGAUUGGCGAGGUCGGGCGUGCGUCUGGUCGCGUCAAGCGCUGGAUUGGGGGGACGGCACGGCCAGUGCCUGGCGGUGGCGUGGCGUGCGAGGGGGAGGAAGGCACGGACGCCGGUUGGGCGGAGCGGCUCGCGCGCACGGGGAGGGAGACAGCCUCGGCGGUGAUUGGCCAGCACGGCGCUCGCCCCAUCUUGUCGUGGGCGCGGGUAGGGCAACGACGAGCUCGCCGGUGGAUGGCGGCCAUACGGCGGAUGGCGUGCGGGUGAACAUGCCCAGGCGCGCUGGCGUCGAGGCAAUGUCGGGCAGCAAACCAGACCAGCUUUGAGGGUCCUCCACUCAAGAUUUUCAAACUAAACGGUCGAAUAUCUAUCACACCCUGAAAUUUCCGAAUUUCAGGAUGUGAAUAAAAAGAAUAAAUAAACAAUAAUUUUCUCAUAAUUUUAAAAUUUUCCCAACAUUUAUUUUUCUUUACAGGAAAUUUAGUAUAGGAAAAAAAAAGUUGCUUGCUUUUAUAAAUUAAAUAAUGUUGUUCUAUGUUUGUGCAUUCAUGUCGUUGCAUCUUGGUGUUCCUUGAGUGCAAAAGGUUUUAAAAUACGUUUAGACGUUGCCCAAACCCUUGUGAGAAUUUUCCAUCUUUUUCCGGAAAUUAUUCUCCUUUUCCUAGAUCUAAAUCCAAUUUUUGGAAGGUCCUAAAAUCCUUUUCACGAGCUCCAAGUAUUUUAUUUGGAUUCCUUGCAUCCCAAUCCAUCUCUAAGAUUUAUCUCAUUUUUUUCUGAAUUUUCUAGAUAUUUUUCUCGCUUUAGAAAACGAGUCCAGCUAUUUCUGGAAUUGUUUUCGCGCAGAUAAAUAAAAUCAGAAAUUCCGAAAAUAAAAAGUCAACACGAAAAUAUCUUUUUCCGAGUGUGGCCUAUAUAUAUAUCACCGCGUUCGUCUCGACGCGAGGAUUUCAGAUCUACAAACCUUUUCACGAGUUACCUCUCCUAACUCCGUAGAUCUGAAGUCAAAGUUCGGUCUUCGUCAAACUCCGGCGAGCUUUUCCGGCGAAACCGUGGACUUCCGGCGAAAACCGACACCACCAUGGAGUUCCUCUCUUCGAGCUCUACGCCGUGGUGUGGUGGAUUGCAUGAAUCCGAUGUCGGCUCCGUCGUCUUCCCCAACUCCGGCGAGCUUUUCCGCCGCCAUUGUUCAUCUCUUGCCGAAGGUGAGCACACCAUCUUGUUCGCCUCGUCGAUAUCGUUCCAUUUUGCCGUUCAUGCGCGAGAUCGGACUUCGUUUCCGGCUUUCCCAUCUUCUUCUCUCUUUCUCCUGUUUCUUGCAACAGGAACUGUGACCGUGCUCCUGUUUCUCCUGUUGCUGUGCGUGCGCACGCCGCCUGUGCCAUCACCGGCCGUGCCUUGGCCCUAGCCCGGCCACCGCUGCACCAUCCACCCGAGCCCCCGCCGCACCGGAGCCCCGGCAGGCCGCCGGCCAGGAGCUGCACCAUGCCCCUGCCGUUCUUUUUCAUCCGUGAUGCAGUCUGGAGGAAGAAGACAAGCCAAUUUUGCAAAUAUAUCCCGGAAGAAAUAGGUAAUUAAUUAUCUUCUUCUUGUGUCUUGACAACUUCACAGAAAACCCCUUAAUCUUUCCGGUUCCAUUCAAUUUAAACCGAGCCUCACAAUCUUUCGGAUCUAACCCUGUUAUUUCUAUUAUUUGCGAGCACUAUUCCUGGUGCCUUGCAAAUUUUCCUUGCUAACCCCUGAGGUCUACGGUUAAUUACAUUUAGACCCCUGCAACGUUGUUUAACCCAUAGAUUCUACGUUUUAAUUCCGUUUUUGUCCGUUCAAGUUGCGUUAGAUUCAUAAUGAUGUAAAUUACACGUUAGUGGUAAUGUUUUCCUUCACACAUGUUUUUGAAAAUAAAAUUUAUAUUAAAAUUGAUUAAUGCCUGUCAAACGAGUUCUUCUCUAAAUAAAAUCUAUUUAGUGUUAAACAUCGUUUUUCAUAAUAAUUGUUAAUUUGAUUAAUGCCUACUUCAUACCCUCUUCUAAAUAAAAUCCAAUUAGGUUAUAUAUCGGUUUUUCAUAAACUAAAGUUGAUUGGAUUAAUGCCUAUCUAAAUAAUUCUUCCAAUUAAAAGCCACUUAGAGUUAUACCUCGGUAUUUCAUAAAUUAAAUUCAAUUUGAUUAAUGUUUAUUCAAUUUGUUUUCUAAAUAAAAUCUGUAUAGGUUAUAUCUCGAGUUUUCAUAGUUAAAUAUUAAUUUGGCUAAUAUAACUAUAAAUGUGUUUUUAAUUUAAUCUACUUAGUUGAACUCGAGAUGUAAAGCUAUACGCUUAGAUGUCUACAUGUAUCUUAUUUUUAAAUUAAAUGUUUAAUGUGCAUAAAUUGUACUCAAAUAUGUAUAAAUAAAAUUAGAGUAAGAUUUACACCGUCUUUUCUUAUGAAAAUAUAAAUAUGACUUGAUUAAUUCUAACUAAGGAUAUUUCUCUGAAAUAUCUUUACAUUGCUUUUCUCAACUAAAAUAAAUAAAGCUUGUAGCUCUUAUCUUUCUUUUAUAAUUCAAAACUCUCGAUAGCUUUAUCUUUUCAACCAUAGUUCCGUUUUAAGCGUUCCUUACGUUCGCGUGACCUUAGAUCGAGCCUUGUCGUUAGUACGCUCUUUUAAAGCUUUCCUUUUGUUUUGAUGUACUGCUCUUAGUUGUAUUUGUUUGCUUGCUUGUAUGACUGUGCCGGUGAUUGCUUCGAGUAGAAGGAUCGUUGUUCGAAAGCUUUGAAGAUUAAGAGUUUCAAGAGAGCAAGAGCUGAAGAGCAGUAAGAAGUAACUUGUCGCUGGAGAAAGGCAAGUGUGUCCUUGUGCUUUUGUCCCAAUAACUUUAUUUAAUCACUAUUGCAUAUGCUUGCAUUAAAUUUGAUGGGUCCUAUUAAGGUUUGCCUAGUUUUUAUGAUUAUUCCUUGCCAACCUGGGUUUACCUUUCUGUUGGGUAGCUACGCUUAGCUGCUAUACUUGGGUUAUGGUGGUUCUAAUGAACAACAUGGUGAACUUAUUCUGUUUAUGAUAUACCUUUUGUUAAUACAAGAUUACCAUAUUUAAUUGGAACAUGGAGCGACCACCCAGGAAAACAGUGCUACCACAAGACUAAAUGGCUCUGGUCUUGGCUGAAUAAUUAGAAACUCUAGUUUGGGGUAACCUUACCGAAAGGGCAAGAGGGGAGGCGUUGAUGGGAUAUAGCACUCGCUCUCUUGGGAAGUGGGCUUGGCUAAGACACUAUACCCUCUAGGGGACUGCUAUGUUUCGCUUCGACCUGAAACCUUAGCGGGUUACCACAUUGCUAGCGAAUCUUUGUAAAGGCCUCGUAGCGUCCCUAUGCAAUCACACCUCGGAAGUGUGGUAUUGUGCCUGAUCAGCACAAGCGUGGUUGGGUCUAAAGUUCUUUUGAACUUUUACGCGACUUGUGGGUAAAGAUGUGCAACCUCUGCAGAGUGUAAAACUGAUCGAUCAGCCGUGCUCACGGUUAAGAGCGGCCUGGACCCUCACAUGAGUAAUAUACUUGAAGAUGGAUUUAAAUUGUGGUUUAUGCUAUGGUUAUGGUUGUGCCAUAUGCUUAUGGCUUAUGUUUAUGUUUCUAUUAAUUGUGGGUUGGUAUAUACUUAUACCUUAGUACUCAGGUGCUAAUAAAAUUUGAUCAACUAAAAAUGCUUAAUGCAGUAAACCGGUCAGCCUUUCCUUGUUUAACCCUUGCAUUCAUAUUCUCCUCACACUUGCUGAGUACGACAAGUGCUCACCCUUGCUAUAAACAACGUUCCUCAGAAGAAGAAGCUGCUAUGAAGUUGUUGUGAAGAUGGUGCUGAGUUCUAGGCGUACGCAACCCCCAGUCGUUUGCCUGUGAAGUUUGGAGCCUCCGUCUCCAGUAAUUAAGCUGUAUAUCUCUGAUGGUUUCGUAAGUCUUUGUAUCUUUUUACGUGAUACUGUUGUUGUUAUUCACUUAUGAUGUCACUAUAUGUAUGAAACUUGAUCCUGGCAUACAUAUAGGUAGCAUUCGGUUUUACCUUUAAAACCGGGUGUGACAAUAUCCCUUAAGAAAACUUGUAGUAAUUUGGUCAUAGUUCAAACUUUAUUAAAAGUGUUUGCUCAGAUUUUGAAGGGAUUUGGAGAUAACUCGAGCCAAAGUUUGCCAAAAACUAGAGAUUUCGUACUUAGGCAUUUCAGCCGAGUUGGUGGAAUUUUAGGAGUUUAGCUGUUUUUUACUUGACUUUAGGGCAGCUUCUGAGUUGAAUUAGACCAAGGUGCUAUUGAAAGAGUUUCUCUUCGGUCUUAGGACUUUAACUUCUAUUAAGGGUUUUUCUUGAGUUUAGUUCAAAAAUUUGGAGGAACACCCUCGCCAAGAGGCGCACUCUGGACGGUUUCCAGACUUGGAGCUGGAAGGCCCAGAGGGAUGAGUUGAUUGUUUUACCCGACUUUGACCAAGUUUUUGAGUAGGUUAGGUGUCAAUUUGGACUAGGGUCAGUGUAACAAAGUUGGAACAGACUCAAGGGACUACAAGUUUUAUUAAAGGUAUGACUUGAUGUUAGAUAUGAAUUUGUGAGAUAACAGGUUGGAAAGUUGAAGAAAAACUUGAAUUCCAGGACUCAAGUUGUUUGUAGGGUUUUAUUAUACUCCUGUUUUGAUUAUUAUUUUUGACCUUCUUCCACUUCGAAUUAGCCAAAGUGUCUUUAACAAAAGUUGUUUGAAAUUAAAAUUUUUACAACCCUUAUUUGGGCAAAAUUUUAUGUUUGUAUAUAGAAACUCAAGUUUUAUUUUUAACUCAAAAAGAGCUUUGUAGGGUCAAAAUGGACAUUUCACCUCUUUUGCUUAGUGACUAACAACUUGUUUAGGUUUAAUUAUACCUAAUUAAGGCAGAGUUGUAACACCGCUGUAUGAACACUCAAGAUCGGGUUUCAAGUAUGACUGGGUGGAGCCAACAGGGGCCUAGCCCCCCUAAUGGUGCGGUUUGUCCGGAGGAUCACCCCUUUUGGGCCCGUUUGGUUCCCAGGGAACCAUUGCCUGGAACGAUUCCUAGCCGGAUUGCUUGCCUAAUUUAUAUAACAUUUUGAUCAGCUGGAACGGUUCUAGAUGGAUUCCGGGCUAACCGAACGAGCCUUAAUCUUCCUGCUCCGACUUUUUUGUUUUUUAGCCCUUUUUGCGAAAGAUUCUCACAAAUACGCCCCUAGUGAAAUCAAUUCCAAAAAUGGACCCUUAGCUUGGCGCCAUCCACGCUGGUGCCAAGCUUACACGUCUCGAUGCCAGGAUGGCUGGCGCCAAGAUCCAUGCGCAUUUGCUGGCGUGGAUGGCGACGUGGCGGGGGCUUGGCACCAUGGAUCUUGGCGCCAAGCUUGGCGCCGUACUCCUCGGCGCCGAACAAUUUAUCCCAUCCUCCUGACGUUUUGAACGAAAUAACUAUAAUUAUUCCGAGGAGUGUGUAACAAACUACGCUCUAGUUCAACUGGUUAGGAUGUGGGAUUCUUUUCCCAAAGACCUAAGUUCGAACCCCUGUGUUGAAUCAACACAAGGAUUCGAACUCAGAUCUUCGGGAUAAGGAGCCCACGUCAUAACCAGUUGAACUAGAGCGUAGUUUGUUGCACACUCCUCAAAAUAAUUAUACUUAUUUCAUUUGAAAUGUCAGGAGGAUGGGAUAAAUUGCUCGGCGUCGAGGACUACGGCGCCAAGCUUGGCGCCAAGAUCCAUGGCGCCAAGCCCCCGCCACGUCACCAUCCACACCAGCAGUUGCGCAUAGACCUUGGCGCCAGCCAUCCUGGCGCCGAGACGUGUAAGCUUGGCGCCAGCGUGGAUGGCGCCAAGCUAAGGGUCCAUUUUUGGAAUUAGUUUCGCCAGGAGCAUAUUUGUGAGAAUCUUUCAAAAAAGGGCCUAAAAAAUAAAAAAGUUGGUCUUUCUGCUAAUUAAGAAAGUAUGGCUCCAUCUCAUGAACAUCUGCAGUUCUUAGCUCAAGAUGAGAAUUAGACCAGCCUAAGCCCAACAAACAAGCUUUUGCUCAAUUGCAGAGGAACCCAUCCGUCCUCAGCCUGCCAGGCUACCGAUGGUUGAUGGAUGCUUCCGCUUCCUCUCCUUUCUUUGUGCCGCUGCUGCUCAGCUGGUGCUCCAAUCUCACGAUUCCAAGCCACCAUCCGCUGGUUCGCCCGUGUGCAAGAUGCAGCACCAGUAGCCACUAACCCACUAAGCUGCUAAACCAUGGAGCUACCCUCCAAGCUCCCUCCGUACGAUUUUAAUCUCCCCGGGUUCCUGCACCCUUCAAUAUUCACCCUUCAAUUCAGAGAUAUCUUGACGCACAUGUUCCGUGUUCCUGCACAGGAUUAAUUCUGAACGCAAAAAAAUGAAAGUUAAUUCGACAUCACCAAAUUUUUGCAACUUCCAAAAUUUUCUUCGAGUUCUUCAAUCUGUCUUUAAAAAAACAAAAUACAUACCUACCUCCUCAAUCGUCAGUUCGUCAUCGCAAUAAAUUUCAAAAAAAGUUCGUCAUCGCAAAACAUUGAACAAGAAAGAGACUAGGUUCCAACCAAUGCUUCGCUGCCAGCUUUCAUCCUUCAUGAAGAAUAAGUUAGGUUUAGUGCCUACUCCUAAUUAGUAAUUGCGUAUGGUAAUCGGCAAAGUACUACGUCUAAUUAAGUUAAACACAAGAGAGAUCGAUGGAGUUGCUAUGACCAAGAAAGGCAAGAUGCUUAUGGAUUGACCUGAUGGAUGAUAUAUUUUGAGCGUGUUUGAGCACCUUGUCUGAAGAACACCGCGAAGUUUGCAGCAAGCAACCUACAGCAUGUGCUGACGUGCCUCUCCAACCACAAAUCAUGAGGAGUUUAUUAGGACACAUCAAUGUCCAACGUGUUUCAGUGCUACAAAAUCAUUUCCCGUUUCACGAAGAUAUAUGACAACGCAACAUAACUUUAGGAAAAUCUUCUCAAAAUAGAAAGGAGCUUUGCCGCGAGAAAAAGGAGUAACGUAACCUGUUGGUUGUUGGAACCAGGCAACCAGCAGUCAUGACGACUCACGCUAUGCUUUCUCAAGAGUCAAGACUCAUGGAGAAGCCCUUGUGUUCGGUAAAGAGAAGCCCUUGUGUUUGGUAGCGAAAAGAGUCCUUCUGACCAUGAACGAAAUAGGCAAAAUCCAAAGUGGUGUUCAGAUUCUCCUCGCCGUCCUAGACUCCUACCUGGAGGCUGGACUGUACUCACUUUUCGUCCUUCACUUACUACUGAUGCUAGCAGUAAAAAGUACGUUGUACAACAAGUGCUAAAGGUAGAAUAAGGGGAUAUGCAAUCCUAUAACUCAUCCAACAAGAUGAGAGAUCUCUAAUUUGUGAUCACGAUCACAGCCACACGUCAAUCAUUGUGGACGACAAGUCUCACCCCGGAUCUGGUAGCCUUGACUAACAAAGCCAUUAGCCAUAUCCUCUCAUUUUGGCGCAUGUACCAACCAAAUAGACGACUGCGGGCUGCGGCUGGGCGGGCAAUAUGCAGCCACAAGGUCUGUAGUCUUCCCGUUCCUGUCGCCACAUUAAAAGACCACGUGUCUGGAGUGAACAGAAUAUGCACGGAAACACACCCGAGUCCGACCAUGGCCCCUGCACUCGGGCCCCCGUGGCAUCUGACCGGAGACUGAACCCACAACGCACCUACUCCUGCGUAGAAAACUAGAAACUUCGGGUUCGUCGCGCUGCGACCAUUCUACCCGGGUCGACGUCCGUUGCUGCAGUGCCAGGGGACGCAAGGUUGCCUUGUUCUGAUGGGGGAAAAAGGACCCCGCUGUUUUGAAGCGUUCUCGGCCGCGCGCGUUUAGUUUAGCGGCCUAGCGAUUAGUUUAUACGCCUAACAAAUCCCUUGCUCACCAACCAACUAACCCAUCACGUGCCGGCCGGGACGAUCUCUCCGUACGCGCGCUUUGCUUGCUUCCUAUAUAAGCAGAGAGAGGCAGCAUUGCACCACAGCAGCGGACAGCGGCCAGAGCCCGAACGGAGCAAAAGCGCCGAAGGGAGAGCACAGAGCAAAAAGCUUUCUUUGCAUCUCAUCACUUGCGUUUCCCACAAGGCCACUGGCCACCAGAAAUCCAGAAUCGCCUCGCGCUCCGCUCGCAGCUAGGCCUCCGUCGGCGAUCGGCAUGGACGCGGGGGACGCCAUGGAGAGGGGCGCGGGCGCGCCGGUCCUGCUGCCCGAGGUAACGAUCCAGAACUCCGACCCCUUCGCUCGCUCGCAAGCCACAUUCGCUGUUAGCCGCCACCCGCCGGCAUCUCCCUUCCUCCACGAAGUACUUUACAGAAUGACCACACUGAUCAGCAAAUGGUGCGAUGUUGGUUAGUGAUCAGCAAAUGCAGCAUUUCUAUCAGUCGCUUCACCGGUGAACAGAAAAUCAGUGCCGGUGUAGAUUUUAGUUGAUGUUUUUCGUUGCUGGAUAUUGGAUGCACCGCGACGUCACACUGAUGCUGACGUCGAAUGCAACUUUUUCUAAGGAGCAAAGUCUAACCUAGUGAAGAGAGAAAGGGAUUAAACAUCUUUAAAUGGUCGAUAGUUGCUAGGCACAUUAAAAUUGAGCUUUUAAGAUUCUUUUUUUUUCCUUUGCCUAAAAUUAAACUUAUGUUUUCACGCACGAGGUUUCAUAGAGAAGAUUCCAAGAAAAAUCAACAAAAGCACAUGCAUACACACAUCUGCCUGUCACUUAAUACUAGUCUUACAUUCAUCGUCAGCCAAGCACAAGAGAAACACUUAUGCAUGCAAAUAGCAUCCACAUCAUACUACUACAUCAUAUCCAUGACCAUUCAACAUUCAACAAGUAGAAUAUGCAGAUUCUCCUUGUUGCUGACAAUUUGUGGAAAUUUUCUCCAUUGCAGAGCAACGGGCCAAAGAUUCAGGACGACAGCCUGCAAGUGCCACUAUUGAAGGAUAAAAAACGCGCAGGCAGCAAGGCACCAGCAGUUGUGCUAGGUGAGCAACCCUCUCCACGUUCAAUUCUACCCUUUUUACAAAUAAAUUCUAGUUUUACUGCGAUAAUUUACAAUAACAAAAUCUAAGAAACAAUAACAUUAUUAUAUUUUGACAUGUACUAAUUACCGGAUGCUUGCCUAUGCUGUGUGCAGGGUUCGAGUGCUUGGAGAGCACAGGGUUCUUUGGCAUCUCCACGAACCUGGUCGUGUACCUGGAGAAAGUCCUCCACGGCAGCAAUCUGGCCAGCGCCUCCAAAGUCACUACAUGGACCGGCACCAGCUACCUGACCCCGAUCUUCGGCGCCAUCAUCGCCGACACCUUCUUGGGCAACUACAACACCAUCCUCAUCU